rnacentral:rRNA from 1 species
GGGUUGUGAGGUUAAGCGACUAAGCGUACACGGUGGAUGCCCUGGCAGUCAGAGGCGAUGAAGGGCGUGCUAAUCUGCGAUAAGCGCCGGUAAGGUGAUAUGAACCGUUAUAACCGGCGAUACCCGAAUGGGGAAACCCAGUGUGAUUCGUCACACUAUCAUUAACUGAAUCCAUAGGUUAAUGAGGCGAACCGGGGGAACUGAAACAUCUAAGUACCCCGAGGAAAAGAAAUCAACCGAGAUUCCCCCAGUAGCGGCGAGCGAACGGGGAGGAGCCCAGAGCCUGAAUCAGCAUGUGUGUUAGUGGAAGCGUCUGGAAAGGCGCGCGAUACAGGGUGACAGCCCCGUACACAAAAGCGCAUGUGCUGUGAGCUCGAUGAGUAGGGCGGGACACGUGGUAUCCUGUCUGAAUAUGGGGGGACCAUCCUCCAAGGCUAAAUACUCCUGACUGACCGAUAGUGAACCAGUACCGUGAGGGAAAGGCGAAAAGAACCCCGGCGAGGGGAGUGAAAAAGAACCUGAAACCGUGUACGUACAAGCAGUGGGAGCNNNNNNNNNNNGUGACUGCGUACCUUUUGUAUAAUGGGUCAGCGACUUAUAUUCUGUAGCAAGGUUAACCGUAUAGGGGAGCCGGAGGGAAACCGAGUCUUAACCGGGCGUUAAGUUGCAGGGUAUAGACCCGAAACCCGGUGAUCUAGCCAUGGGCAGGUUGAAGGUUGGGUAACACUAACUGGAGGACCGAACCGACUAAUGUUGAAAAAUUAGCGGAUGACCUGUGGCUGGGGGUGAAAGGCCAAUCAAACCGGGAGAUAGCUGGUUCUCCCCGAAAGCUAUUUAGGUAGCGCCUCGUGAAUUCAUCUCCGGGGGUAGAGCACUGUUUCGGCUAGGGGGCCAUCCCGGCUUACCAACCCGAUGCAAACUGCGAAUACCGGAGAAUGUUAUCACGGGAGACACACGGCGGGUGCUAACGUCCGUCGUGAAGAGGGAAACAACCCAGACCGCCAGCUAAGGUCCCAAAGUCAUGGUUAAGUGGGAAACGAUGUGGGAAGGCCCAGACAGCCAGGAUGUUGGCUUAGAAGCAGCCAUCAUUUAAAGAAAGCGUAAUAGCUCACUGGUCGAGUCGGCCUGCGCGGAAGAUGUAACGGGGCUAAACCAUGCACCGAAGCUGCGGCAGCGANNGAAGGUGGCCUGUGAGGGUUGCUGGAGGUAUCAGAAGUGCGAAUGCUGACAUAAGUAACGAUAAAGCGGGUGAAAAGCCCGCUCGCCGGAAGACCAAGGGUUCCUGUCCAACGUUAAUCGGGGCAGGGUGAGUCGACCCCUAAGGCGAGGCCGAAAGGCGUAGUCGAUGGGAAACGGGUUAAUAUUCCCGUACUUGGUGUUACUGCGAAGGGGGGACGGAGAAGGCUAUGUUGGCCGGGCGACGGUUGUCCCGGUUUAAGCGUGUAGGUGUGUGUUCCAGGUAAAUCCGGUUCACUUUAACACUGAGGCGUGACGACGAGGCACUACGGUGCUGAAGCAACAAAUGCCCUGCUUCCAGGAAAAGCCUCUAAGCAUCAGGUAACAUCAAAUCGUACCCCAAACCGACACAGGUGGUCAGGUAGAGAAUACCAAGGCGCUUGAGAGAACUCGGGUGAAGGAACUAGGCAAAAUGGUGCCGUAACUUCGGGAGAAGGCACGCUGACAUGUAGGUGAAGUGAUUUACUCAUGGAGCUGAAGUCAGUCGAAGAUACCAGCUGGCUGCAACUGUUUAUUAAAAACACAGCACUGUGCAAACACGAAAGUGGACGUAUACGGUGUGACGCCUGCCCGGUGCCGGAAGGUUAAUUGAUGGGGUCAGCGCAAGCGAAGCUCCUGAUCGAAGCCCCGGUAAACGGCGGCCGUAACUAUAACGGUCCUAAGGUAGCGAAAUUCCUUGUCGGGUAAGUUCCGACCUGCACGAAUGGCGUAAUGAUGGCCAGGCUGUCUCCACCCGAGACUCAGUGAAAUUGAACUCGCUGUGAAGAUGCAGUGUACCCGCGGCAAGACGGAAAGACCCCGUGAACCUUUACUAUAGCUUGACACUGAACAUUGAGCCUUGAUGUGUAGGAUAGGUGGGAGGCUUUGAAGUGUGGACGCCAGUCUGCAUGGAGCCGACCUUGAAAUACCACCCUUUAAUGUUUGAUGUUCUAACGUGGACCCGUGAUCCGGGUUGCGGACAGUGUCUGGUGGGUAGUUUGACUGGGGCGGUCUCCUCCUAAAGAGUAACGGAGGAGCACGAAGGUUGGCUAAUCCUGGUCGGACAUCAGGAGGUUAGUGCAAUGGCAUAAGCCAGCUUGACUGCGAGCGUGACGGCGCGAGCAGGUGCGAAAGCAGGUCAUAGUGAUCCGGUGGUUCUGAAUGGAAGGGCCAUCGCUCAACGGAUAAAAGGUACUCCGGGGAUAACAGGCUGAUACCGCCCAAGAGUUCAUAUCGACGGCGGUGUUUGGCACCUCGAUGUCGGCUCAUCACAUCCUGGGGCUGAAGUAGGUCCCAAGGGUAUGGCUGUUCGCCAUUUAAAGUGGUACGCGAGCUGGGUUUAGAACGUCGUGAGACAGUUCGGUCCCUAUCUGCCGUGGGCGCUGGAGAACUGAGGGGGGCUGCUCCUAGUACGAGAGGACCGGAGUGGACGCAUCACUGGUGUUCGGGUUGUCAUGCCAAUGGCACUGCCCGGUAGCUAAAUGCGGAAGAGAUAAGUGCUGAAAGCAUCUAAGCACGAAACUUGCCCCGAGAUGAGUUCUCCCUGAGACUUUAAGUCUCCUGAAGGAACGUUGAAGACGACGACGUUGAUAGGCCGGGUGUGUAAGCGCAGCGAUGCGUUGAGCUAACCGGUACUAAUGAACCGUGAGGCUUAACCUUACAACGCCGAAG